UUGAACGCUGGCGGCAGGCCUAACACAUGCAAGUCGAGCGGAUGAAGGGAGCUUGCUCCUGGAUUCAGCGGCGGACGGGUGAGUAAUGCCUAGGAAUCUGCCUGGUAGUGGGGGAUAACGUCCGGAAACGGGCGCUAAUACCGCAUACGUCCUGAGGGAGAAAGUGGGGGAUCUUCGGACCUCACGCUAUCAGAUGAGCCUAGGUCGGAUUAGCUAGUUGGUGGGGUAAAGGCCUACCAAGGCGACGAUCCGUAACUG
rnacentral:rRNA from 1 species